CCAACUCUCGAUUCUUAAUUAGAAAACCCUAAAUCGUUUUAAGUUAGCCCCGAGGAUGGUAAAUCAACAGUUCCAUUUAUUUGAGCUCAAGGCUGGUCGCUCAUGCCAAUAUAUGGAGCCGUUCUGCAGGCAGAGUGUUGUCAGGAGGCUUUUCGGGUUCUGGAAAACUCGAAAUGUGAAGAAAGGUGGGGAGUUGAUGGGCUUCAUCUGGUACUGCUAGAAAGAAAGUCCACCUUGAUUCAUCUCUGAAUCAGUGUACAUCGGCUCAAUACUUUUAGAAACAUAAGCAAUGCAGACUGUAUGAUCUAAGUGGGUUUGAUGUAACGAAGACCAACCAAAGCUUCCGCCUUUCAGACUCCCAUGUAUCAAUUCGUUUUACAGAGCAGACAAAAUUUCAUGAGUUGCCUGAGAACAGGGGCUUGAUCCCGAUGGAACUCUUCAGGUUCAGGGAUUUACGAUCAUUCAAUGUUGUUGGCUAACACAAACACUGACUUGCCAGGUUGUUCAUUAUUUUCCCCAUUCAUAUCUUUCAUGUAGUCUGUCUAAAUGUCCAUUUUAAUUGCCUGCAGAUAUUGUUGGUGACGUGUUUUGGAGGUAAACGUUUGUCUUAGUAUUUUUGUCAAUCGUGCUAUGCAACUCCUUGAUAAAUUGGUUAUCCACGGCGUGGAACCACGGGUUAUUGCAGCUACCAAUAUCAAUCCAAAAUUGGCUGGAGGACGUCCUUUCCUAAAUCCAGCCUCAGUAACCCUUUUCUAAUUUGCCGGUGAGUGUGAGGCCAUCACAAGUUGCAUCUAGGGGUAAACCUUUGUAAUGAAACCCAUCCUGCUUAUUAGCUUCCUCUGUCACACUGCUGGUUCUGUCAAUACCACUUGGAAUCACAGUAGAAGUGCAGGUUGAAGACCUCCAAUGAGAAAGGGGUAAAGAUAAUGGUCCGUGUCCGGCUGUAAGAGAUGACGCUCCUUUCGAGGAGUCCCCUGUUGAAGAUUGUGGACCUCUACAAAGAAACCACGUAAUAGUUGAACUCCAGAAGAUCGAAGUGAAAGUUGGAGUCUGGUUUCACAACUGCUUCUUUUAUCUUUAAUUCCCAGCGUUUAAUAAGUUGUCAUUGAACUAUAUUGCAAUGUUUUCUGUUCUUUUGUUUUCUUUUUAAAUCAGCCUUACUAAUUUCUCAACUGCAAUGCAGUAUUUUAAACCCCUAUUGAAUUGUUAUAAUGUUAUGAAUAUUAGUGCCAAUUAUUUCAUAUAAUGUUUCAAUUAAGCA